GACGAACGCUGGCGGCGUGCUUAACACAUGCAAGUCGAACGGAAAGGCCCUGCUUUUGUGGGGUGCUCGAGUGGCGAACGGGUGAGUAACACGUGAGUAACCUGCCCUUGACUUUGGGAUAACUUCAGGAAACUGGGGCUAAUACCGGAUAGGAGCUCCUGCUGCAUGGUGGGGGUUGGAAAGUUUCGGCGGUUGGGGAUGGACUCGCGGCUUAUCAGCUUGUUGGUGGGGUAGUGGCUUACCAAGGCUUUGACGGGUAGCCGGCCUGAGAGGGUGACCGGCCACAUUGGGACGGAGAUCCGGCCCAGACUCCUAGGGGAGGAAGCAGUGGGGAAUAUUGCACAAUGGGCGGAAGCCUGAUGAAGCAACGCCGCGUGCGGGAUGACGGCCUUCGGGUUGUAACCCGCUUUCGCCUGUGACGAAGCGUGAGUGACGGUAAUGGGUAUAGAAGAACCGGCUAACUACGU
rnacentral:rRNA from 1 species